GCACUACUGACGAGUCCCAAACAGAACGAAACAGCUGUCCCCGGUGC
rfam:Echinostoma caproni strain Egypt genome assembly, scaffold: ECPE_scaffold0004286